rnacentral:rRNA from 1 species
CAAUAGCGUAUAUUAAAGUUGUUGCAGUUAAAAAGCUCGUAGUUGGAUUUCUGGUAGGAGCGACCGUGCCGAACUUGGUUGUUCGAGUAUUGUGUUGUCUUCAGCCAUCCUCGUGGAGAACUUUUCUAACAUUAACUUGUUGGGAUUGGGACCCGCGUCGUUUACUGUGAAAAAAUUAGAGUGUUUAAAGCAGGCAUUAGCUUGAAUACAUUAGCAUGGAAUAAUAAGAUAGGACUUUGGUACUAUUUUGUUGGUUUGCAUACCAAAUUAAUGAUCAACAGGAACAGUUUGAGGAUAUUCGUAUGAACAUGUCAGAGGUGAAAUUCUUGGAUUUUGAUCAGACGAACUACUGCGAAAGCAUUUAUCAAGGAUGUUUUCAUUAA